CUGAGUUACUUUUACAUCUAACCUCAAGGGGAGUUUUCAAUUCAAUCAAUUUUUUUAAAUCUCUACAAAUUCUUAGUAUGGUUAAAAAGACAUUCACUUUCAUUUACGAAUAAAAAGGCUUUCAAAUGAUAUAAAGUAUUUAUAAAACCACGCCUCAAACAUGCAGUGUGUUUUUGGACACUCUAUUUAAAAACUGAUAUAGCUUUGGUUAAAUCUAUUCAACGCAAAGCAACAAAAUGGGCUUUCAGACUUUGAGACAUCUUUAAUACUACAAAAGCGCCUAUGAUGCAAUAUAAUCCAUAUCUUUAAACUAACACAUUGUUUUGAUAAAGUUAAUGAUUAAGUUAACAACAACAACAACAACAAACUAAACGGAUUAUUUUUCAUUCUUAUGGUGUCUCAAGAAGACCUAUCCAGCUAGCACGCAUACAUUGGGCCAACGUCGGAACGACGUCGGAAGCGUUGGACAAUUUUAUAAAUACGUGCUAACGUCGUAACGACGUCGGGCCAACCUCGGAAUACAAAUGAUUUCAAAAUGCGUAUAGUGUGUUACAGGUUUUAAUGUUAAAAUAGUUUUCGGCCAUUUUUAAA